UACGUAGGUGGCAAGCGUUAUCCGGAAUUAUUGGGCGUAAAGAGCGCGCAGGUGGUUAAUUAAGUCUGAUGUGAAAGCCCACGGCUUAACCGUGGAGGGUCAUUGGAAACUGGUCGACUUGAGUGCAGAAGAGGGAAGUGGAAUUCCAUGUGUAGCGGUGAAAUGCGUAGAGAUAUGGAGGAACACCAGUGGCGAAGGCGGCUUCCUGGUCUGCAACUGACACUGAGGCGCGAAAGCGUGGGGAGCAAACAGG
rnacentral:rRNA from 1 species